rnacentral:rRNA from 1 species
GCGUGCCUUUUGUAGAAUGAACCGGCGAGUUACGAUUUGAUGCAAGGUUAAGCAGUAAAUGUGGAGCCGUAGCGAAAGCGAGUCUGAAUAGGGCGUUUAGUAUUUGGUCGUAGACCCGAAACCAGGUGAUCUACCCUUGGUCAGGUUGAAGUUCAGGUAACACUGAAUGGAGGACCGAACCGACUUACGUUGAAAAGUGAGCGGAUGAACUGAGGGUAGCGGAGAAAUUCCAAUCGAACCUGGAGAUAGCUGGUUCUCUCCGAAAUAGCUUUAGGGCUAGCCUCAAGUGAUGAUUAUUGGAGGUAGAGC